AAAUGAUGAGAGAAGCAAUUUAACACAGACCUGUUCGGAACAAAUUUUGUCGAGAAACGUGCACCUUACUCCUGAU
rnacentral:snoRNA from 1 species